rnacentral:rRNA from 1 species
UACGUAGGGUGCAAGCGUUGUCCGGAAUUAUUGGGCGUAAAGAGCUCGUAGGCGGUCUGUCACGUCGGAUGUGAAAAUCCAGGGCUUAACCCUGGACCUGCAUUCGAUACGGGCAGACUAGAGUUCGGUAGGGGAGACUGGAAUUCCUGGUGUAGCGGUGAAAUGCGCAGAUAUCAGGAAGAACACCAAUGGCGAAAGCAGCUUUCUGGGACGGUACUGACGCUGAGACGCGAAAGCGUGGGGAGCGAACAGG